rnacentral:lncRNA from 1 species
GAAGAAGCGGACAUCGCUGGUGCGGGGGAGCCGCUCCUGCGCCAGCUAUAGCAGAAACAGUCGGGUCCCAGCAACAUGCGUACUGGUUUGAGUACCAACAUAAAGACUCCCCCUGGUUUGAGUAGCCUACAAUAUGAAGAUACCACUCAUAAGAAUGCAGGAAUGCUGAACUUAACAAUAUAUUGGUGCACAUGAGACUGUAAGUGAUGCUUCAAUGGGGU